rnacentral:lncRNA from 1 species
UUCUCAUCUGAAAAACAGGCACAGCACCUAGUUUGCAGGACUGGGAAAGUUACAGAGGGUUAAUGGCAAUGCGGUUGGCCUUGGGCACUCCUUGUUCUGACCUCUGGAGUUCGGCUGCCCUGUGGUCUGGCCCUGGCUCUGUGGAGAGGCUUUCCCAGGCCGAGGGGCUCACCAGGCCUUCCCUAGUGAGGAGCUCUUUCUGCCAGAGCUGAGCUCAUGGGCAGGGCGGGGCGCAGAGGCCACAUAUCAGCCAGCUGUCCUCCCUUUCCUGGGAGCUGGUCCAGAGACGAGGGGCAGGGCGUCUGGUUUUCAUUGUGCGGCCGUCUCUAAUUCCUCUGGCAUCUGAGCUACUUUUCAGAAGGAGGGAGAUGCACUUAACUGGUUGUGACCCAGCUUGGUGCUGAGGAAGAAGCCCUGGGCCUGGGAUCAAGCAGAGUUGAACUCGAAGCCUGCCUCAGCCACUUACCUGCUGUGUGACGCGGGGAGGCCACUGUAGAGCUGGCACGAAGGAGGCUUCCUGUCUGAAGGAGCUGGUGCAGACACACCGGUGGGGCACCCGGCAGAACAACAGCAGAAGAUCUGCAAUCACACGAACUGGCUGCCUGUUCUCUACACGAGUCCAAAUGCUGUCAGGCUCAUUUCUCUGUUUGACAGUGAGCCAUGGACAAGCUGUGGGGCAAAAGCAAGAACUGUACGUGGUCUCCAUUUACAGAACUCCCAGGCUGGUGGAGGUGGCUUUUGGUACAACUCAGGUCUGAGGGCAAAAAUACACACUUUGGCUUUGCACAAAGGGGCUGACGACCCCAUACGUACCCUAGCACCUGGGCUGCCCAGCUAAAGAGGUCAAGUGGCCACAAGCUGAGCCUACGGUAAUCUUUAAUAACUAGAGUAAAUUUCCUUGUGAACUGGAGAAUUGGUAAGACAAGCUCAAAACCAGAUCUUCCAACUGGCCUCCCUAUCCCCCAGCUCCCUCCUUCCUUUUUUCUAUCUCCUUAGCGAUUGUUGUCUUCUCCAAAGGGUCUCCCCUUUCCAAACCCCAACAUGAUUCUGUUUUGCCUCCUGUUAUGGACUGAAUUCUGUCCUCUCCCAAAUUCACAUGCUGAAGCCCUAACCCCCAGUACCUCAGCAUGUGAGUGUAUUUGGAGACAGGGCCUUUGAAGAGGU